AGGUUGUAUAGGCCUUACACAACAAUCAUUAAAACUCGUUGGGAUAAUCAAUUGCGGAAGAAUAUACAUGCGGCAGCUUAUUGGUUGAACCCAGCUUUUCAAUAUGAUCAAGCUUCAUUUUGCAAAAAGCCAGAGGUUAUGAAUAGUGUACUUGAUGUGAUUGAAACUAAAGCCACAUCAAGUAAAACGAAGCUCAUGAAUGAACUUAGAUUGUUUCGAGAUCGACAAGAUAGUUUUGGAAGAGAGCUUGCCAUUACUACAUCUAAGAAAACACAACCUGAUGAAUGGUGGAAGAUGUUUGGACACAGUGCUCCAAAUUUGCAAAAGUUAGCCAUUCGAAUUCUUAGUCAAACUAGCAGCUCUUCUGGGUGUGAAAGGAAUUGGAGCGUCUUUGAGCGCAUACAUACAAAGAAGAGGAAUAGACUAGAACAUCAUAGGCUUAAUGAUCUUGUGUAUGUUCAUUACAACUUGCGAUUGAAGAAUAGGUAAAUUAAUCUUUCUCAUAUAGUAACUAAUGGAUUCUUUAUUUUAUUCGUUUAUUUAGUCUUAUAAUUGAAUCAAUAUAGGAAGUAUUACAAAACAAGGAAUUAUGAUCCCAUUGACGUUGAAAGCAUUGACAAAACCGAGUUUUGGAUUAUUGAAGAAGAAAGACUAGAACAAGAGGAGCCUCCAUUGCUUGAUUAUGAUGAGCUCGAAAAAAUGCUUUGUGAAGAAGAUGAGCCUCCACGAUAUAAGAGGUAAUGUCAUGGUCUACGAGAUGAUGAUGUUGAGGAUGAUAUGGAGGUAGAACUUCUUGGAGAUGAUAUCGACUUGGGAUCUUUUGGUGACGUGAACAUUGAUAAUAGAUCAAACAAUCCGAGCUCUAGUGCAAAUGCGAAUGAGAAUGAUGAUGAUGAUUGGCUAAAUUAUCGUCCCUAGGAGAUUUAGGCAAAAUUCAAAGAUUGCUUGUGAUGUUAUGUUGUGUUGUCUGUGAACUUUGAACUUAGUUUUGUCUUUUUUGUAACUUAUGUUUUAUGGAUUGCUUUAGUUGGAUACUUUCAUAAUGUUUCUUACUAUGAUUGUUGUUUUUAAUGGCUAAAUUUUCAUCUUUAAUUUUAUUUGUUGUUAGUAUGUGAAGUGUUAUGGCUUAUAUUCAGGAAUUUUUUUUUUUUAAAUUAUAGAAAAACAUCACUAAAAAUAUUUAAGAUUUUUUUUAAAAAAAAUUGAAAAUUUAAUAUUUAAAUUAUUAAUUUAUAUUUUUAAAAAAAAUUAUUUAUGACAUAAUUAUGACGUCACGGUUCGAUCCGGUUCAACCCACCGGUUGAACCGGUGUCCCGUCCACCCGAUCAUUUUUCCGGUUCGCUCACCGGUCCGGUUUUUAAAACCUUGCUCCGAACUGGACUACACACAUUGUCCCAAUCAACUACAUGGUUCUUGAACUCGUCUUGAAGACCUUCUCACAAAAAAUUAUUUGAAGCUUCUACAGCCUCUUCAACACCGAAAACAGAAUAAUAA